GAAAUGCGAUAAGUAAUGCGAAUUGCAGAAUUUCCGUGAGUCAUCGAAUCUUUGAACGCACAUUGCGCCCAUUGGUAUUCCGAUGGGCAUGCCUGUUCGAGCGUCAUUAUCUUCCCUCAAACCUCGGGUUUGGUGUUGGGCCGUGUCGGUUCCUCCGUGACCAACUGGCCUCAAAGACAAUGGCGGCGUCCAUAAGCCCCUCUCUCACGCUCUUGACCUCGGAUCAGGUAGGGAUACCCGCUGAACUUAAGC
rnacentral:misc_RNA from 1 species